rnacentral:rRNA from 1 species
UCCUACGGGAGGCAGCAGUGGGGAAUAUUGCGCAAUGGGGGCAACCCUGACGCAGCAAUACCGCGUGAGUGAAGAAGGUUUUCGGAUCGUAAAGCCCUGUUAUUGGGGAAGAAAAAAGACGGUACCCAAGAAGAAAGUCCCGGCUAACUACGUGCCAGCAGCCGCGGGACUAAGUAGGGGACAAGCGUUGUUCGGUUUUACUGGGCGUUAAGGGCACGCAGGCGGUUGUUUAAGUCAGAUGUGAAAGGUACCGGCUCAACCGGUGACAUGCAUUUGAAACUGAAAGACUUGAGUAGUGGAGAGGCAAGUGGAAUUCCUAGUGUAGCGGUGAAAUGCGUAGAUAUUAGGAGGAACACCGGUGGCGAAGGCGGCUUGCUGGACAAAUACUGACGCUGAGGUGCGAAAGCGUGGGGAGCAAACAGGAUUAGAUACCCCAGUAGUCG